UUAAGGUCCUGCAACGAGCGCAACCCCUGUCACUAGUUGCCAUCAUUCAGUUGGGGACGUCUAGUGAGACUGCCUACGCAAGUAGAGAGGAAGGUGGGGGAUGACGUCAAAUCAUCACGGCCCUUACGUCUUGGGCCACACACGUAAUACAAUGGCCGGUACAGAGGGCAGCUACACAGCGAUGUGAUGCAAAUCUCGAAAGCCGGUCUCAGUUCGGAUUGGAGUCUGCAACUCGACUCUAUGAAGCUGGAAUCGCUAGUAAUCGCGCAUCAGCCAUGGCCGCGGUCGAAUACGUUCCCGGGCCUU
rnacentral:rRNA from 1 species